GGCAGUGCCCCAAGUAUUUCUGUUUUGUAGUUAGAAUGAGGUCACUAUCGUUACAACCACAGAGGUGGAACCUGCUAUUCCUAUAGAUUUAUUGAGGAUAGCAACUAAUACUAAUUUAUCUCCCACAGCAACUCCAACGAUUACCUAAACACCUUACAUAUUGGGUGAUUUUUUUGUUUUUGCAUUAAAAUAGUGCAUGUAGCCAUUUUAUUAAUGAGAAAAACAAGCCUAUUGAUAAAGCUAUCCUCAAAAGUGGCCUAGCUCAAACCCAAAAAUACCAAACACAUGAAUCUACCAAAUCUCAAGUCCCAAUUAGAAAAAAGAAAAAAUUCUAGAACUUCCUCUAAUCUAGAUGUUAUCGAUUUGUCUUCUCCAACAAUGUGAGUUGUUCCCAUGUCACUCAUCACCAUCUUGAAUCAAGUCAGCAUUCAACUAACAUACUCGGGUAGCUGAAGUACAGAGAUCAGUCAUUGAUGUAUCCUAAAUGUAUCCAUCUGUUAUGACUUGAUUAUUCCACUUUCUCAUAUAAGUAUCAAUCCAUUUUCUUUAUUCUUUCUCAAAUUAGUAGGUUGGCUUAUGCCAAAGCAAAUACCACCACCUAAUCUAAGAAGAAAUUAAGGACAGUGAUGAACCUAUUUUGUACCUUUGAAUCUGCGCUACAGUGAUACACCAACUCAAAUUCAAAGGGUUCCAUUUCUAUUAAGCUGUAGUAGUAUUUGAAUACACAAUCAUCUGAUGCCUCAAGCUCUCACCGUGUGUAUAUCUUUGUAUUAACAGAUUUGUUUCUAACGCGGGGUAUUAUCUUCUCUAUAAAAGCCCCUAAUUUGAAAUUGUGUUCAUCCUAGUUGCACCUCUUACAUGUGUGUUGGAAUGUUGACUUGUUAUGCUAUUUUUAAUAUGUACAUGUUCAACUAUGUCUCCUUAUAUUCUUAGAAGAAACACAAAUUCUACUCUUCUUUAGCUUACUGUUUUAUGAAAAUC
rnacentral:lncRNA from 1 species